CUGUAUAGGGGCGCAUAUCAGGAUGAGCUUCCCGAGUCCUUCUUUCCCCUCCGCUCAUGAUCUCUUUCUCUCUCCCCUACCCAUCUAUGCAAGAAUUGUUUAGCCUAAAUGCUUCUAUAUGUUGUAUGUAUUCUUAGAUGUACUUGAUCUAUUGUGAAUCUUGUGAUCACAGAACUUCCUGAAUCCGACGCUGUCAAUCGGGCCGCAGAGAGGAAGCGUGGUGGAGAUGAGAUGGGGACAGAGGAUCCUGCAGCGAUGUUGUUUGUUUGUUCUCCUGCUCAAGGUUUGCUAUCAAGCUCUCAAAAAGAAAAAAACAACUUUACUCUGUUUUCUGGAGAACCUUCCCGUAGAGUCACUACCUCAACAGAGACAAAUAUGCGAUCAAGGAUAUAUUCGAUGGAUUUUCAAGCAAAACUUGGAGGCUAUUUUUGCAGAUAGUUUGGUGCUCUCAUGGUUAUUUUGUAGAGAUUGUCCCUUUGUUCAUUUCUUGGUAACCGUCUACUGCAGCUCAGCUACUGUCCAGCAGCUAACCUUAUGGCAUGCACUUUCUAAUAAAAAUUUGGCAAUCUACUUGAGAAGCACAACCCUCUUGAUCCUACUAGGAACAUCAAAACCAAAUGGGAUAUCAUUGAGUGGACUUCAGAUGGGUCUUGCCAAGAUCUGAGGAUGAAGGGAAGAAGAAUUUAACUAAACAGUGAAGAAGAUCAAGGAGAAGGAUGGCAGAAGUGAGUUCAAAAGGGAGAUCAUCUACAGCACUGGCAGAUCAGCGGGACAAGGGCAAUCAGUAGAGAGAUAGGGCAAAAGGGAGAUCUUUAUGCCACAUAAACUUGUAGAUCAACGUGAGGAGGACAAUCGGUAGAGAGGAUAGGGCACAAGGGAGAUCUGUAUGCCGCCUAUAGAUCAGCAUGUACCUUGGUCACGUUCUGGCAACAAGGAGGAUGAUCAAGAAGGAUUGGGGAACACCAGCAAAAAAAGUACUGGGGAAGACGGGCGGGACGAAGGCUUGGAGAUCGUUGUUUGGCGCAGUGUUGAUUGCUGGCUGGCCGACUGCGGUGUGCUACCAGCGAUGAGAUCCAGGAGGAGGUGGCGGCGGACAGGGAGACUAGGUAGGGAUGAACUGCCGAUUAAGAUGCAGAGCUGCUGUUUUUAUCAUGUUGUUCUUAUCCUGCUCACUAUGAUAUUUGUGGAAAAUAUUUGCACUAUGGUUUGGUUAAGAUACAGAGCUACUAUUUUUAUUCUGCAUUACCUCGUGGGUCUCAUUAUAUGGAUUAAGUACAAGGCAUCUGUGGUUCAAAAGUUUUUAGUAACUUGUGUUUAUCUUUACUGUCUGGUGUCGAAUUGA
rnacentral:rRNA from 1 species